rnacentral:lncRNA from 1 species
GUUUUAAUCAAUGCACUAGUUUUUAAUCUUUGAGAAACUCACAUAUUUGUUAAGGUAUAACACAUUUUCAAAUACGGUAAGAAUAUUAACGUAUGAAGUAUUUUGUUAUUUUUUGUGCUCUAAAUAUGAAAUCGUAUAACUAGUAUCUGGAUAAUAUUGCUAUGAAAUGCAACAAUAAUUUAAAACAGUGAGUAGACACUUAAAACCCUAAAAUGCAAUAUAUAUUGUUAUGGCUUUGAACCAAAAAAAAAAAAAAAAAAUCAUUUGAAUGCCUGUACCAAGUCAGGAAUAUGGCAGUUAUUAUCCAUUGGUUUGAUGGGUUUGAGACUUUCAUUUUGCCAUCUGAUAAAGUUUUGAAUUUUUAUCGGACUUAAUUAUUUUUGUUCAUUUUGCUUAUUGAAUUUAUAUAUUUUUGAAUUAAGGGCAUGAUAACAUAUAUUAACCUGAUUUGCUGCAUUAUGUUUAACCAAUUUGUUUACAUUUGCUACAUUUGUAAAUAUACUUAGAAAUAUAAUAUAUUAUCUAUUUUUAAAUGUUCACCUUUAAACUUAAUAGGACACAGCAUAUGUUAAACGUUUGCAUCCAAUAGAACACUGACAAUUAUAAACAAGUUACAACAGGCAGCAUUUUUAAACUCUAUUUUAUUCUGUGAACUUAUCAAUAGUCUGUGAGAAAGUCACAUACAUAUUUGUAAGAUAAUACAAAUUUCAAAUGAGGUAAGGAAACUAACACCGUAUGAUUUAUUUUGUUAAUAUUUGGCUAUAAAUGUGAGAUCGUAUAACUAUUAGUUAGUUAAUUGUUUACAUAUCACUGCUAGGAAAAUCAACAAUGAUUUAAAGCAUUGUGCUUGAACACUCGAUCAACUUUAAUUGUAUGACUAUAGUUUUAAAUGUUGAUUUCAAUAAGAUGAUGCAUGGUAUUUUUGUUCGCCAUGUUCAAAAAAACGAAUUUAUGAGAAAAAUAAUUAUAGGCUGCCAAACUGUUUCAUUUCUAAAUCUACACUUAACUUAUAUAACACUUAAGUAUUUUAAAAAUAAUUUCAUAUCCCUUUCUGAUAAUGGCUACAAGAUAAUAACAAAUCAAUUUUGCCAAUAACAUGUAUCCCUAGAAGAACUGAAUCUGGUUCACCCAAAAAUAAUUUCAUUUUACAUACGGAAAGGGUUAUAGUUAUUUUAAGAUUUUAGGACAUAAUAACAGAUAACAAUGCGUAUUUUAAUCACAUGACAGGAAGUAAAGCUUUGAUGUUUACAGCCAAUGGCAGCAUUAAUUUCAAAAUGGCGGCUGUAAUGUAAAAAUAAAGGCGGGAAGCUCUUUAAUUAGUGGUGUAUAUUAACUUAAGUUUCUGCAACUGCCAGGUAUGCAAUAUUGUAUAAAUCCCAGUCUAAAAGCAUUAGAUCGAAUGAAUCAAAAUGAGGAAUAAACACUAAAUUUGCAUAAGCAACAGGGUAAUAAGUGUGAAAGAGAAACAGGGUGAUCAGUGUUAGAAUGCAGAGUCUCCGAAGCAUUUGCUUUGAAAAAAGUAAAGUUGUGUCCAAGGCUAUAAGAACAUUUUCGUAUAAUUCUAGUUUGAUAGAUCAAAUAAGUAUACAAACCAUAAUGUGUGUUGUUUAUAAACCGCGUGUUGUCUUCGAUUGACGGAAGCUGUAGGCAUGCGCGUUACAAAAAUCUAAAAAUGACUGAAGUGCGAAAAAAAUCUGCAACACACAAAACAUUGACUUAGAUAUAGAUAUGUAGGACUAUGCUCGACCUAUAUUUAUAAAUAUGAUAAGGGGUGAUCUUAUGGGGAAAAAUAAAUGGGCAGCCACUUCCUGUCAGAACUAGGAUGUUUAUUCCAAUAUUCAAUGUUGGGAGAGUUUCGCGUUCUUUACAGGUAACAGAAUCCUUGAAAUAACAAUUGUAAUAAAAGAGGGACGAAAGAUACCAAAGGGACAGUCAAGCUCAUAAAUCUAAAACAAACUGACAACGUCAUGGCUAAAAAUGAAAAAGACAAACAAACAACAGCACACAUUACACAACAUAGAAAACUACAGAAUAAACAACACGAACCCCACCAAAAAACUAGGGGUGAUCUCAGGUGCUCCGCGCGUCCUGGUACCUUUGAUAACUAUUUACACCACUGGGUCGAUGCCACUGCUGGUGGACGUUUCGUCCCCGAGGGUAUCACCAGCCCAGUAGGUAACACUUCGGUUUUGACAUAGAUAUCAAUAAUGUGGUCAUUUUUAAACAAUGCCCUGUUUACAAAACUUUGCAAUUCUUCGAAAAACGAAGGAUUUUUUUAUACCAGGAUUACCAUAGCCGUAUUAGGCACAACUUGUUGGAAUUUUGGAACUUCAAUUCUCAUUAACUUUGUACUUGUUUGGCCUAAAAAAAAAUUUUGAUAUGAGCGUCACUGAUGAUUCUUAUGUAAAUGAAACGCGCGUCUGGCGUACUAAAUUUUAAUCCUGGUACCUUUAAUAACUAUUGUGAGGGUCCAUUCAGGCCAAAAGGUUUUCUUAAUCAAACAUGCAGUCCUUGUUUCAGUUAAAGUAAAAUUUCGCAACAUAGCGAUUUCAUAGUAAAAUAAUUGAAUCCUUGAAAUGUAACCCAAAAUCAAAAUAAUUUAUGAAAAACUUACCCUAGGUGUUACAUCUUUUCAAACAUGUGAUCAUUAUUACAAAAUAACUAGUUGUUCAUGGUAUGUGCACCAGCAUUAGUAGAUUAGCAUGUCUAAAUGCCAUGAAUUCAAAAGUAGAUACCUUUAGGGUAGAAGGUUAAAAUAACAAGGGGUAGGGACAAAAAUACUAUUGAUAAACAAGUUUUGUAAUACCGUUUUUAACAUUAUAAUUUCAAUGUCGUAUACUUUGUAGAUCAUUAUAAUAAAAUUAAGUAUCUCAAAAACAGACAUUACCUGAAAUUCAAACAUCUGUUACAGAAAAAGGAUUUUUAAUAUCUAUUCCAUUUAAAUGUCUCUGACCAUACAAGAAAAAUACAUUUUUGUGACAAAGAUAAAUCACAAAAUAUAUAUUAUGAUCUACCAUUAGAAAUCAAAUGAAAGCUGAUGUAAAUAUUAACCUGACCUGAUUAGUUCUGAUGACUUUUUUUCUAAAGGUAACCAGUUCAUUGGUUAUGGUGUGCAUGUGAUAAGUUGUUAUGGUGUGCAUAUGAUAAAAGUGUUACUAGUUUAUAUUUGUCGUUUUCUGAAAGACCAAUAGAAUUGAUGUCAUAAUUAUGUAUUUCAUUAGAUUAAUUAUUUCUCAAUACUUCAUUAGUUUAUUUGUUUAAUGAAGAGCCUAGAAAAUAAUUUCCAACUGCAUCAAAAGUCUUUGUUCUUGGAAAGAAGCUAUAAAAAAUAUCACACAUUUUUGUAAUUGUAAUUUUUGUAAUUGUUAUAAGUAUUUUCAAAUGCCAGUGUAUCAAUGAUAAUCUCUCCGCAGAAUUUGGAAUGAUGUGGCCAUAGACGUGGUUAAUGCUUACUGUGUCCAAAGAAAUCUGAACAGAUUAGAGACUAUAGUAUAAUCAGUUUGCUUUAUUUUUAGUCUAGUCUUUUCCUUCUUAUAUAAAGAGAAAAGCCUAUGCUUGAUUUAUUCAGCAAACUGUGAAUUAUCAACAAAACGGUGCAAUAAAGACUCGAAUACACUCACCAAGCAUGCAGUAAAAGUAAGUAACCAGCCAAGAUUAAAGUAAUUCAAAUGUUUAUGAAGAUUUAUGCACAAACUUUACUAAACAGUAAAAACUUAAUCCGACAAGGCAAUGAUAAAUUAAACAAAUUCAAUUUUACUCAUUAAAAUAUAUGAUGUAAAGAGAGCAAUGUGGAGGGAGCGACAUGAUUAACGUCUUUUACAGAGACAAGAGCUAUGUUGUAGUGUCAAUAUUAUUAAAGAAUAUCAUUGAGGUAGAAUAAAUGUAGUGGAUGCAAGAAUACACAGUUCUUUCAUAAAGAUAAGAGCUAUGUUUUUAGAGAGACAGUAUGAACAGUAUAGUUAUAUCAUUGUCAAUCAUAUCGCAUCUCCUUAUUUCUUUUCCAACAGUAUCAAUGUCUAUCACGGAGGAAGCAGGAAAUUUGUGGAAGCCAAAGCAUCAAUGUCUAUCAUUUAGGAAGCAGCGGUGACACUAUCAGUGUAAUAGUCUAUCAGGAUUGGAUAAAGAGCGGUAUCAAUUUCUAUCAAAGAGGUAGCAAAAAAGAUAAAGAGUAUCAACUGAAGAUAAAAAUAAGGCAUGUCGCAUGAUUGCUAAUGAAACAACUAUCCACCAAAGUUCAAAUAAAGUAGAUGUAAGCAAUUAUAGGCAGCAGUGCUGCACUCAACAAGGAGAAAAAAAACAUACCGUAUAGUCGGCUAUUAAAGGAAUUAUCGAUAUGAAAAAUAUGAAACUAUUCAAUUGAGAAAACUAACGGCUUAUUUAUAGCAAAACAUUUUUCGAAAAGCAUAUAUGCCAGACAUAACCAAAAAUAACCAAUGAAUUACAGGAUCCUAGCUUCAGACAGGUAUAUAAAUAAUGUUGCAUAGUUAAACUAUUGCGUAGGUGUCAAACCGUCAUGCUAAGCUGGAGCAGUGGUUUAAUGGUUCAACAUAGGAACUAACUAUGCAAAACAGUAAAGGAAAAACAAAUAUGAGAAACACCAAAAAAUGACAACCACUCAAUUACAGGCUCCUAACUUCGGGUAUGCACAUAUAGAAUGUAGCAAGAAUACAUCUAACAAAAAAAACCAGCGUGGAUGUGACAGUGUAUUUAGACAUCCCCACAACAAAAAAGACAAUUAGUACAGAUCUAAGAGUACUUGAAGUUACUUACAGCUACUUCAAAGCCAAUAAUAGGUAAUAAAAUAACUCAUGCAUCUAGAUUUUGACUAAAUUUUACCUACAUCCCGUAGUAAACUAGCCUUAAAUAGUUAACUAGAUGAAAGAUAGCUCGAAACACAUGUGUAGUCAUAAGACUGUCAUAAGACAGUUCACAGAGUAACUCAACAAUGACUCAAUUGAGCACAGGAGCGUAUAUUUUAUGGCACGCCAAUAAAAAUGUUCUUCAAAGAAAGGUGAAUAGAUGUUAAAAGCAAUAAUUUAUGAAGUUUGAUCAUUUCUUUCAAAAGUUUUAGUAUCAUUAUAAUAUUAAAUUUGAAUUACCAGCAAACGAAUGUACAAAAUUAGAAAAUGACAAUUUUUGCACGAAAAAAAUCAUUUAUAGGAAAAAAUGUCACUCAAAUUCCACUUUUGUAUACAAAUGAUUAAUUCUCAGUCAGCUGAAUGAAAUGUCAUGUUAAUAUUGCAUAGUAAUCAUAGAAACUGCACGCAUUUAGAAGAUUAGCAUUAACAAAAUCUUCAAAAUCGGACAUCAAAUUCGGGUUUUUACAUGUUACAUAAAACUUACACCUUUUGAUAGUAGAAUUGUUUGUCAUCUUGUGUACCUACCAUGUUAAGGGGUCUUGUACCGUCUUGGUGGACGUGAUUUAAGAAGUUAUCUAUGUA